CACAAAUCUGGAGGAGGGGUAUGAGAGAGAGAGAGAGAGAGAGAGAGAGAGAGAGAGAGAGAGAGAGAGAGAGAGAGAGAGAGAGAGAGAGAGAGAGAGAGAGAGAGAGAGAGAGAGAGAGAGAGAGAGAGAGAGAGAGAGAGAGAGAGAGAGAGAGAGAGAGAGAGAGAGAGAGGUGGUGCUGUAGGAGAGCUUCAUCAUACAGGCUAGUCACGAAGUCAUCAGUAGGCGCCACUCUGACCCCAUUACCGCCAACACUUUGGGAAACACACACACACCAACUGCUCUGGAAAAAGCGGAGCAAACACAGACCGAUACAUACACACAUAAUCACACACUGCUUGGGACAAAACAUUGAGAGGAUGAAGAGACCAGGGAGGGAGGUGAAACAGACAUCUAAUGGGAGAGGGUGAGUAGGGAAAGUUAAAUAUGGUUGACAUAAAUGUAUAGACACACAGCAGGAAAGAGGUAGAAGGGAGGGAGAAGAAGACAAUGAAUGGUAUGGAGAGAGAGAGAAGGGAGGGAGAAGAAUAUAGAGAAGGGUAUGGAGAGAGAGAGAAGGGAGGGAGAUGAUAAGGAUGAUGCAGGCAGCCCUUCUCCCCAUUACCCUGCCUGUCAGCCCUGUAGCCAUGAGCCAUGCAUCACCCUUACUACUGCUACUGCUGCUGGCCAGACAGGUCUGGGAGGGGGAAAAGGGAGGAAGAGGAGAGAGAGAGAGAUAGGACAGGGGCUAGAGACAGGUCUGGGAGGGAGGGAAGGGAGGAAGAGGAGAGAUAGAGAUAGGACAGGGGCUAGAGACAGGUCUGGGAGGGGGGGAAGGGAGGAAGAGGAGAGAUAGAGAGAGAGAGAUAGGACAGGGCAUAGAGAGGUCUGGGAGGGGUAAAGGGAGGAAGAAGAGAGAGAGAGAGAGAGAUAGGACAGGGGACAGAGACAGGUCUGGGAGUGGGGAAGGGGAGGAAGAGGAGAGAGAGAGAUGGAACAGGGGACAGAGACAGGUCUGGGAGGGGGGAAGGGGAGGAAGAUGAGAGAGAGAGAUAGGACAGGGGACAGAGACAGGUCUGGGAGGCGGGAAGGGGAGGAAGAGGAGAGAGAGAGACAGAUAGGACGGGAAAGAGACAGGUCUGGGAGGGGGAAAGGAGAGGAAGAGGAGAGAGAGAAAGAGAAAAAUAAGGAUGACAGGGCCUUUUAGGAGAGGAUAAGGGUUAGGGAGAAAGAGAGUGGCGGAGAGAGGGAGAGAGAGCUGCCUGUCUUCUCAUCAUCCCUAGGGGAAUUAAGAAAGAGAGCCUCUUAUGAGACUACAAAUCCAUAUUCCCCUCGUCAUUCUGUCUACGUCUCUCUAGCACUCUCUCACUCUCUCCUCUCUCGCUCCUCUCUCUCUCUCAAUCUCUC
rnacentral:lncRNA from 1 species